CCAAUAGCGUAUAUUAAAGUUGUUGCAGUUAAAAAGCUCGUAGUUGAAUUUCGGGGUUCAUCCGUUGGUCGGGCUUUUUUGGUCUGUACUGGCGUGAUGGAUUCCUACCUUCUGAAUAACCAGCAUGUCAUUAAUUUGGUGCGCUGGGGAAGCGGGACUGUUACCUUGAAAAAAUUAGAGUGCUUAAAGCAGGCUAUCGCCUGAAUACAUUAGCAUGGAAUAAUGAAAUAGGACGGCAUGGUUCUAUUUUGUUGGUUUCUAGGAUCACCGUAAUGAUUAAUAGGGAUGGUUGGGGGCAUUAGUAUUCAAUUGUCAGAGGUGAAAUUCUUGGAUUUAUUGAAGACUAACUUCUGCGAAAGCAUUUGCCAAGGAUGUUUUCAUUAAUCAAGAACGAAAGUUAGGGGAUCGAAGACGAUCAGAUACCGUCGUAGUCUUAACCAUAAACUAUGCCGACUAGGGAUCGGACGAUGUUAAUUUUUUAAUGACUCGCUCGGCGCCUUACG
rnacentral:rRNA from 1 species